AUUUCUAACUUAUAUUUAUAUAGUUUAUUAAAAACAUUACAUUUUCAUUGUAAAAUUAAAUAUUAUUUUUUUAUAA
rnacentral:tRNA from 2 species